rnacentral:rRNA from 1 species
GACGAACGCUGGCGGCGUGCUUAACACAUGCAAGUCGAACGGAAAGGCCCUGCUUUUGUGGGGUGCUCGAGUGGCGAACGGGUGAGUAACACGUGAGUAACCUGCCCUUGACUUUGGGAUAACUUCAGGAAACUGGGGCUAAUACCGGAUAGGAGCUCCUGCUGCAUGGUGGUGGUUGGAAAGUUUCGGCGGUUGGGGAUGGACUCGCGGCUUAUCAGCUUGUUGGUGGGGUAGUGGCUUACCAAGGCUUUGACGGGUAGCCGGCCUGAGAGGGUGACCGGCCACAUUGGGACUGAGAUACGGCCCAGACUCCUACGGGAGGCAGCAGUGGGGAAUAUUGCACAAUGGGCGGAAGCCAGAUGCAGAAACGCCGCGUGCGGGAUGACGGGCUUCGGGGUGUAAACAGCUUUCGCCUGUGACGAAGCGUGAGUGACGGUAAUGGGUAAAGAAGCACCGGCUAACUACGUG